CACGAUAGUCUAAGACGACGGUGGUUGCGACUGCUGAAACAUCUUCAUCAUAUUCUGAAGCUGCUGCUGGAGUUCAUCGAACUUUUUAAGCUGUUCUGCUUCCCUCGUUGCAGCCUCUAAUUCCCUCGCUGCAGCCUCUACUUCUCUCGCUGCUGCAUCUGCUUUAAGCUGCUGCUGGAGUUCUUCAUACUUUCGUUGAACCUCAGCUUCUCUCGCUGCUGCCUCUGCUUCUCUCAUUGCCGCAUCUACUUUAAGUUGUAGCUGGAGUUCUUCAUAUCUUUUUUGAACCUUAGCUUCUCUCGAUGUCGCCUCC
rnacentral:lncRNA from 1 species